rnacentral:rRNA from 1 species
UACGUAGGGGGCGAGCGUUGUCCGGAUUUAUUGGGCGUAAAGAGCUCGUAGGCGGUUUGUCGCGUCUGCUGUGAAAACUGGAGGCUCAACCUCCAGCCUGCAGUGGGUACGGGCCAACUAGAGUGCGGUAGGGGAGAUUGGAAUUCCUGGUGUAGCGGUGGAAUGCGCAGAUAUCAGGAGGAACACCGAUGGCGAAGGCAGAUCUCUGGGCCGUAACUGACGCUGAGGAGCGAAAGCAUGGGGAGCGAACAGG